rnacentral:rRNA from 1 species
CGGGACGGGUGAGUAACGCGUGGGGAACCUGCCUUGCACCGGGGGAUAACACUUAGAAAUAGGUGCUAAUACCGCAUAAGCGCACAGAGCCGCAUGGCUCAGUGUGAAAAACUCCGGUGGUGCAAGAUGGACCCGCGUCUGAUUAGCUGGUUGGCGGGGUAACGGCCCACCAAGGCGACGAUCAGUAGCCGGCCUGAGAGGGUGAGCGGCCACAUUGGGACUGAGACACGGCCCAAACUCCUACGGGAGGCAGCAG